rnacentral:lncRNA from 13 species
UUACUACAUUGCUGCUUAAUGGGACAGACUCUUCCUCAUGUCAUCCCUCAUGCCUGAGCUUAGUAGGUGUUCUGUUCCUGUGAUGAAUUACGUUUAUUGAUUUGCAUAUGUUGAACCAGCCUCGCAUCCUGGCAAUGACACCAACUUGAUCGUGGUGGGAUGUAGGCACAUCUUUUUGGGGGUCACCACUCAGCCUACUGGAGAGAUUGACAGCAGAAAACUGGGGAAGGUGAGGAAACAGAGUCCCCCCAGGGCCUGUGGAAGGAACGCAGGCCCAUUUGCCUUGAUCUUAGCUGGCUGAGACCCAGGAACUAAACAUAAAAUGAAGCAUGAUAAAUGAGUUAAUUUUAGCACCACUGAAAGAAAAUCUGCGAACAGGUAAUUAUAU